rnacentral:misc_RNA from 1 species
GAUGAAGAACGCAGCGAAAUGCGAUACGUAAUGUGAAUUGCAGAAUUCAGUGAAUCAUCGAAUCUUUGAACGCAUAUUGCGCUCUCUGGUAUUCCGGAGAGCAUGCUUGUUUGAGUAUCAGUAAACACCUCAACUUCCAUAUCUUUUUUGAAAUGGGAGUUGGACUUGAGUGAUCCCAACGCUUUUCCUCACCGAAAAGUGGCGGGUUACUUGAAAUGCAGGUGCAGCUGGACUUUUCUCUGAGCUAUAAGCAUAUCUAUUUAGUCUGCCUAAAAAACAGAUUAUUACCUUUGCUGCAGCUAACAUAAAGGAGAUUAGUUCUUGUGCUGACUGAUGCAGGAUUCACAAAGACAGGCUUCGGCCGACUUUGUAAACUCGAUCUCAAAUCAAGUAAGACUACCCGCUGAACUUAAGCAUAUCAAUAAGCGGAGAA